rnacentral:rRNA from 1 species
UCGAACGGACUCAUAUUGAAACCUAGUGAUUUAUGAGUUAGUGGCGGACGGGUGAGUAACGCGUGGAUAACCUGCCGUAUACCGGGGGAUAACACUUAGAAAUAGGUGCUAAUACCGCAUAAGCGCACGGCUCCGCAUGGGGCAGUGUGAAAAACUCCGGUGGUAUACGAUGGAUCCGCGUCUGAUUAGCUAGUUGGCGGGGUAACGGCCCACCAAGGCAGCGAUCAGUAGCCGGCCUGAGAGGGUGGACGGCCACAUUGGGACUGAGACACGGCCCAAACUCCUACGGGAGGCAGCAGUGGGGAAUAUUGCACAAUGGGGGAAACCCUGAUGCAGCGACGCCGCGUGAGUGAAGAAGUAUCUCGGUACGUAAAGCUCUAUCAGCAGGGAAGAAAAUGACGGUACCUGACCAAGAAGCCCCGGCUAACUACGUGCCAGCAGCCGCGGUAAUACGUAGGGGGCAAGCGUUAUCCGGAUUUACUGGGUGUAAAGGGAGCGUAGACGGCAGCACAAGUCUGGAGUGAAAUCCCGGGGCUUAACCCCGGAACUGCUUUGGAAACUGUGCGGCUGGAGUGCAGGAGGGGUAAGCGG